rnacentral:rRNA from 1 species
AAACGUAGGAGGCGAGCGUUAUCCGGAUUUAUUGGGCGUAAAGCGCGUGCAGGCGGUUUGGUAAGUUGGAUGUGAAAGCUCCUGGCUUAACUGGGAGAGGUCGUUCAAAACUACCAGACUAGAGAAUGGGAGAGGGAAGUGGAAUUCCGGGUGUAGUGGUGAAAUGCGUAGAUAUCCGGAGGAACACCAGUGGCGAAAGCGGCUUCCUGGACCAUUUCUGACGCUAAGACGCGAAAGCUAGGGGAGCGAACGGGAUUAGAGACCCCGGUAGUCCUAGCUGUAAACGAUGUAGACUUGGCGUUGGCGGAGUUAAAUCUGCCAGUGCCGGAGCUAACGCGUUAAGUCUACCGCCUGGGGACUACGACCGCAAGGUUAAA